UACGUAGGUGGCAAGCGUUGUCCGGAUUUACUGGGCGUAAAGAGCGCGCAGGCGGUCGUUCAAGUCGCGUGUGAAAGCCCCCGGCUCAACUGGGGAGGGUCACGCGAUACUGAUCGACUCGAAGGCAGGAGAGGGUAGUGGAAUUCCCGGUGUAGUGGUGAAAUGCGUAGAUAUCCGGAGGAACACCAGUGGCGAAGGCGACUUCCUGGCCUGUUCUUGACGCUGAGGCGCGAAAGCUGGGGGAGCAAACGGG
rnacentral:rRNA from 1 species